rnacentral:tRNA from 1 species
GGUGGCUCAGUGGUAGUGUGCUUGCCUUACAUGCAGGAGGCCCUGGGUUCGAUUCCUCAGCACCA